AGUGAGACCGUGUGUAAGUGAGAAGGAAUUCGCUGUUACAAAAACUAAAGUUCAAGACUUUUGUCGUGGCGUUGGUCCAGUUUUACAGACGAAACUUGAAGAAAGAGCUUCUCAAUCUAAAAACUGGGUAAACUUGAAAUAAAUAAUUGUUGUUGUAAUGUUGUUGUUUGUGACCAAAAGAGAAGCUGUAUGCAUGCAUCCUUUGACUGUGCGAUAUAAAUACUGAGAUACUAA